rnacentral:rRNA from 1 species
UACGAAGGUCCCAAGCGUUGUUCGGAAUCACUGGGCGUAAAGGGAGCGUAGGCGGCGUGGUAAGUCAGAUGUGAAAUCCCGGGGCUCAACCCCGGAACUGCAUCCGAUACUGCCAUGCUUGAGGGUUGGAGAGGUAGCUGGAAUUCUCGGUGUAGCAGUGAAAUGCGUGGAUAUCGAGAGGAACACUCGUGGCGAAGGCGAGCUACUGGACAACAUCUGACGCUGAGGCUCGAAGGCUAGGGUAGCGAACGGG